UACGUAUGGACCGAGCGUUGUCCGGAAUCAUUGGGCGUAAAGGGUACGUAGGCGGCCCAGUAAGUUAGAAGUGAAAUAAUAUAGCUCAACUAUAUAAAGCUUUUAAAACUGCUAGGCUUGAGAGAUGGAAGGGAAAGUGGAAUUCCUAGUGUAGCGGUGAAAUGCGCAGAUAUUAGGAAGAAUACCGGUGGCGAAGGCGACUUUCUGGUCAUCAUCUGACGCUGAGGUACGAAAGCGUGGGUAGCAAACAGG
rnacentral:rRNA from 2 species